UACGUAGGAUGCAAGCGUUGUCCGGAAUUAUUGGGCGUAAAGAGCUCGUAGGUGGCCUGUCGCGUCGGCUGUGAAAACUCGGGGCUCAACUCCGAGCUUGCAGUCGAUACGGGCAGGCUAGAGUUCGGCAGGGGAGACUGGAAUUCCUGGUGUAGCGGUGAAAUGCGCAGAUAUCAGGAGGAACACCGGUGGCGAAGGCGGGUCUCUGGGCCGAUACUGACACUGGGGAGCGAAAGCGUGGGGAGCGAACAGG
rnacentral:rRNA from 1 species